rnacentral:rRNA from 1 species
CGCGGCCUAUCAGCUUGUUGGUGGGGUAACGGCCCACCAAGGCGACGACGGGUAGCUGGUCUGAGAGGACGGCCAGCCACACUGGGACUGAGACACGGCCCAGACUCCUAUGGGAGGCAGCAGUGGGGAAUCUUGCGCUAAUGCGCGAAAGCGUGACGCAGCGACGCCGCGUGGGGGAUGAAGGCCCUCGGGUUGUAAACCCCUUUCGCCAGGGACGAAGCGAAAGUGACGGUACCUGGAGAAGAAGUCCCGGCUAACUACGUGCCAGCAGCCGCGGUAACACGUAGGGGACGAGCGUUGUCCGGAUUCAUUGGGCGUAAAGCGCGCGUAGGCGGUCCGGAAAGUCGGAUGUGAAAACCCGGGGCUCAACCCCGGGCCUGCACCCGAUACUUCCGGGCUGGAGGCAGGUAGGGGAGAUCGGAAUUCCUGGUGUAGCGGUGAAAUGCGCAGAUAUCAGGAGGAACACCGGUGGCGAAGGCGGAUCUCUGGGCCUUGCCUGACGCUGAGGCGCGAAAACUAGGGGAGCGAACAGGAUUAGAUACCCUGGUAGUCCUAGCCGUAAGCGUUGGGUGCUAGGUGUGGGCGGAUAUCGACCCCGUCCGUGCCGAAGCUAACGCAUUAAGCACCCCGCCUGGGGAGUACGG